GGAUUAGGUAAAUGGAGGGCUUUAUUUCACCUAUUUUCAACGCAGGUGGGCGGAGUUGUCUUUGUGAUACCGCCUUUAUGUUUUUAGGCAAUGAGCAGUCAAUCACAUGUGAGGUUCUGUGCAGCGAAUCAUGCGCCAUCCCCCUUAGACUAUAAAUUAAUCAUGGGCGGGUUUUAAAAAGCUGUUACUGUCAAUCAAUGAUGCCGGAGAGGUAAUAUACUAAGUUCAGGAAGGGGCUGUUCCUGGAGCAUUGGCUGCAAGGCAGAAAAUUCCAUGAGAAUGAGAACUUCUGAAAAUCCCAAUGCAGACAAGACAAAAGGAAGAAAAUGAAACCGACCAUACUUCCGGGUUCCAAAGUGGCCACCAGAACGUCACCUCCGGCAUCGUCUGAUGAUAUCACUUCCAGCUCCAACCUAUAAUGACACUUCCGGUCUCCUAUUGAUGACAUCACUUCCACCCAUACUUCACUUCUGGUCACUUUUGAUGACUCGUUGCAUCCGUCUGCCAGUUUCAGUGUCAUUUCCUGCCAUCUCAUUUCCGCCCACCAUCUUUUUCUGUAUAUAAGCCACCAUUUUGUACAUGUCAUUGUGAUGUAUUUUGCCUGUUUGUUUUCAUUGUCCUGUGGAGAUUAUACAGGGACGGUCCCCAACUCUUUUUUUUUCUAGUUGUGGAACUCUCUAUCACAAUUGCCGUAGUCGGCAGGAUCUUUUUUACUCAAAAAGAUGAUUCAAGAGCAAGAUCUUAACACCGUUUUGACCACCAUGAUGGCAGAACUACACACCCUGAAGGUGCAGAUGGAAGAAACUUGCACCCAGUUGGCAGAGUCUGAGGCACAGGCUGCAGCAACGGUGCAGACAGAGGCCGCUCGGUCUCUUCCCCCUCAGUUGACGUAUUUAACUCGGGUAGAUGAUGUGGAAACCUCUUUCUAAAUUUUUGAACGUACCGCCAAGCAGAAUGCAUGGCCAAGGUUGGAAAUGGGCGUACCUCCUGGCACCCUACUUAAAGAGCGCGGCACAGAGAGCUUAUUACAAUUUAACUGAGGAGCAGGUGACCAAUUGCGACACCCUCCGGGCAAAGGUUUUGAAACGCUAAGGCAUAUGUCUGGUCCAGCAGGCAAGGGAAUGGAGGGAGUGGCCGUUCGACCCUGAGAGCACAAUACAUACCCAGGCUUUUGAAGUCUGAGGUAAAGUUGGGCGCUGGCUAAGGGCAUAUAUUCACUCUGCCCAGAAAAUGGCCGAGAUUAUGGCAUGCGAAACCUUCGUCCAUGCCCUCCCAGAAAAUCUUGCCCAGCAGAUCCGGAACCAAAAUUACAAAAACAUGGACUCCCUUAUUAAGGUGGUGGAGCGUCAUUGGGCUGCCUGUAAAUCAGACUGGUCGGAACGGUCCUACCACCAAGCUCGAUAGGUACGUGGGGCAGUCCUUGAACCCAUCCGGCGACUUGCCGAGCCUCCCAUCCGGCCUAAAGAAAAGCUGCACAACCUUCCCCGCUGUUUCAAGUGUGGGAAGGUUGGGCACUUAUCCACCACCUGUCAUCUUCCUGGAGAACCCAUGGAUUGUUCUAUAAUCAAGGGACAGAGGUAUUGUACUGUGGUAAACCCUUUGUCUCUACCCGCUACUGGGGCAGUAGUCAUAAAUGGGUUUAAGCUAGUGGCAAUGUUUGAAUCCAGGAGCAAUAUUUCCAUUGUUGCUCACCUUUACGUUUUGCCGCGACAAUGGCUCAAGGUUAAGACCAGUCUAAAUUGCAUUCAUGGGGAGAUCCGGUAUUAUAAAUCCUCUUUCUUUGUGGUCUCAGUCGAAAAAGGGAACAAUAGAAUGGUAGUUCCUUAAAAUUUGCCAGGAAUGCAGUGGUUUCAGUUAAUGGACAUCAGUCCCUUGAUCCUGUACCACGAAUGCCCUACUUUUGUUGUUAAUAAUGAACUCUUGUAUCGAGUGGCAGAGCAUGAUGGUGAGUUGAGGUCAUUAGUUCCACAUACUUAUCGGCGGCAAGUAUGCAAACUAGGGCAUGCCCAUCUCCUAGGUGCCCAUCUAGGCACCGAAAAAACUCUUGAGCAAAUUAAGUUUUGAUUUUAUUGGCCUGGGAUAAAUGAGGAGGUUUUUGUGUUUCAUGUCCUGAAAGUCAGCUACGUCAGAUUCCCAGAAGGGACUGUGCUCCUCUUGUCCCUCUUCCCCACAUUAAUAUUGCCUUUGAACGAGUCAGUAUAGACCUCAUAUGACCCUUAGAACUCUCUGCAACCAAUUAAAUAUCCUAUAACAUUGGUCUACCAUCCUCAAAGAGAUGGGUUAGUGGAACGAUUUAAUCAAACUUUGAAACAGAUGUUACGCAAGGUUGUUAGCGAGGAUGGGAGGAACUGGGAUCAAUUGCUCCCCCUUGUGUUACUUGCCUACCAGGAGGUCCCUCAGGCUCCUACGGGGUUUUCUCCUUUUGAGUUAUUGUACGGAAGACAACCCCACGGUUUACUGGAGAUGUUAAAAGAAGGAUGGGAAGAAGAGGUCAUCCCCUCCUCAAAUAUUUUAGAAUAUAUCACGCAGUUAUGCGAUAGAUUGGCGAAAAUCAGACCCUUACCAAAAGCAAACUUAGAAAGAGAUCAAGCAGCCCAUUCGCUAUAUUAUAAUAGAAACACAACCCUCCAGGAGUUUCUCCCAGGGGAUCGUGUAAUGGUGCUCGUACCAUCUUCCCACUCUAAAUUAUUGGUACAUUGACAAGGCCCGCAUGAAAUUAAGGAAAGAAAUGGACUUGUUGAUUAUUUGGUUAAACAACCCAAUCAUCAGCCGAGUGAGUGAGUUUAUCACAUAAAUUUGCUGAAACCAUGAAAGGACAGGAAUGUUGAUCCCUCCUCCGACCAGCCUCGCUCCCUUUUCAUAAAACACCAGCCCCCUGUGGCUGCAUGUUUUUCUUCCAAACAGAUUCACAAUCAGUGAUAAUAAUCAAUAAAAACUGAUGUCAUUUAAUUAGCUGGUCUUUUUUUUCUUCUGUUAUUCUGCAUUCAGAAAAGCACAACAGUAUGGCUUUUACAUUUAUAAGAUAUUUAAAAAUUAUUUGUUUUUCUAAAGCUAUAAAUGCUUAACUCUCUUUUGUUGUUUUCCUAUUAUUUUCCCCUAUUCCUAUGUAGUUUGCUCCCUUCAUUUAAUCCUCAUAGUGACAAUUAACAGCAAGCAGACACCCAGGAUGAUGAAAGCUGCAACUACUUCAGAAUCAGACCCACUAAUUAGUAAGUAUCAAUUAAAUAACCGAAACACCUGGUUUUUUAGGCUAGGAGUCCAAUGAAAAAUGAAAGUUGGUUGGAACAAAAACCUGCAGCCAGGGCGGGUCCCCAGGAUAGAGUUUGGGAACCACUUCAUUAGAGUAAUAGUG